rnacentral:rRNA from 1 species
CUCUGUGUUGUAGCUAACGCGUUAAGCACUCCGCCUGGGGACUACGGUCGCAAGACUAAAACUCAAAGGAAUUGACGGGGACCCGCACAAGCGGUGGAGCAUGUGGUUUAAUUCGAUGCAACGCGAAAAACCUUACCACUUCUUGACAUGGAGGUUAGAUCUUUCUUAACAGAAAGGCGCAGUUCGGCUGGACCUCACACAGGUGCUGCAUGGCUGUCGUCAGCUCGUGUCGUGAGAUGUUGGGUUAAGUCCCGCAACGAGCGUAACCCUCAUCCUUAGUUACCAGCGGGUAAUGCCGGGCACUUUAAGGAAACUGCCGGUGAUAAACCGGAGGAAGGUGGGGAUGAUGUCAAGUCAGCACGGCCCUUAUGGGGUGGGCUACACACGUGCUACAAUGGCGACCACAAUAGGUUGCAACGCCGCAAG